ensembl:lncRNA
CUCAGUAGCAGCAAAAGGCUUUUGUAAUACAAUAUGUACACAAUAACAUUGCACAUUGUACUUUUGUGCGUAGUUAAGGCCACCUAAUAUAAAGGGGACCGUAUUUUAAUAUUAAUAUUAUAAUUUAUUAACAUUAGUAUUGAAUAAAAUUUUAGUUUUUUACUUUUUAUUUUAGUUUUAGUGAUUUUGCUAUGUACUUUUGUAUUCAUUUAUUUAAUAUUUUUAUAUAAUUUAUUUUUACUUCCAUUUUAGCACUUCAACCUAAACUUUUUUCAUUUAGUUAACAUGGCAACAUUUUAUAACUUAAAAAAAAAAUUAAAAAAUUAAGUUUGUUUUCACCAAAUUGUUAUUUUUUAUUUUAACUAAGACAACACUGGAACAACAUUGCCACUCUACUCAGUGUUUUUUUUGUUUUUUUUUCAGGGCCACCCUUCAAGAUCUAGUCCAAGUUGCUCGAGAUCUAGUCAAACCCAGGCCUGAGAAAAAAGAUGUGAAUAUGUCCUCUUGCCAAUCCUGAGAGACAGAAAACUGUAUCAUACUCAAUACUCCAGCCACAGUCAAGGCUGGUACCACACUGAAACGCUUAGCAGUCCUGCCAGUGUAAAGCUUGACAUUGUCUUUCUCCAGUCAUUGAUUCUGUAGGGAAAAGAGAAGCAAGAACAUUUUACUAAAGUUCUCCUUUAGCUUUCUGCAUGAGAAUGUGAGGGAGCAACAUGAGGUGCAUAUUUGGGCAAGGAGGAAAAGAGAAUGAUAUCCCACGUCACAAGUCUCUAUCUGCUCCACCAGGACCGUUGAACACUUUAAUAAGGCCCAACCUUGAUGAAGCUGUCAGGGCUGGAAGACACACGAGGGGUUAGACGUACGCUUUCAAACACGCGUGACCUCACGCUGAUGAGCCUAAUUUACACAUCCUCAAGGCCUUUCCCCUGAGCCCACCAAUCACAAUACCCUCCCACUUGACCUGCGACCCUCCACGGGGGUCUCCCAUUGGCUGCGUAGUGAAAGGAAAGAGGGAGACAUCCCUGCUGCUCAUCUCCAUCACAAUGGCAGCAUAUGUUUGUGGGCAUUUGAGCGCAUGGAGCUGGCAGAGUCCAUAUUAGACUGACGACAGAGACCAGGUGCCUGAACCCCACACACUCGGAGACUAAAGAGAAAGUCAACACUGUUAGUAACACUUCUUCUCUGAUUUAUAACCGAAACCGCUGGAGCUAGUCUAUCUGUUUAGCACACAGAAAGAGCUCUCUGUAUGCUUGUUUAGUGGGCAGGCUGAUGUAAACUUUGAUGGGAUCAUAUGCACUUUGGCAUUGUGUUCUAUGGAGUUGUAGAUGUUGAUUGAUUAUGGACUGUGAGAUAGUUAUAUCACUGAAUGUGUCUGGGUUACUGGAUUUCACUCGGUGCCCCGUGCAAACAGCUUACUGCUGAUUAAACAUUGAUUUUCCUCUGCACCCUCUCACCCUGAUAAAUAGAGCAUUAAGAGGGCUCCACAAAUAAUAACAUUGUGGAAUAAUAAAAUUUGUUAUAUCUGGGGAACCA